GCCGUGAACCACAUCUACCCUCUACUGAGCACGUUGAAGCCCGUCGUGGGUUGUUUUAACCCUCCAGCCCUGAAGAGGACCGGAAAUAAUCCCUCCGAUCUAAUGAACUGUUCUUGCUGCUCCCCAGUCCUUCUCAGUUUCUAGUGACGGCUAUUCUGUCCUGCUCUUCUCCAAGACUGACCUAUUUCCACUAAUGAGUAACGACACUGGGAUCCGCGUUUCUGUGUCUUCACAUAACGACCUCCAGUCCCUUCUGCGUUGCCUUAGAAACAGGAUGUUUACAAUGACAGCACAGUGUAAGUUUCCCACUUGCCUGUUACCCCUCCCCACUCCCUCAAGGACAGAUGGCCGACCCCAUAUCCCAGCUACUGGGAAUUGUGGAAGCGAACGCCUCUGGGCUCUCAGUAGUGCAUUAAGGGAGAAUGGUGGAAGCGAACAGCUGCUGUGCUCUCACAAACUGGGGCAGCCUGGGCUACUGAGGCCAUGCAGCCCGGCCGACAUCAAUCAGCAAUGAAGAAACCACAGACACUGUGCUUUGAGUGCUUCAUACGUAAACCCAGUGCACCUACCACUCAGGUGUCCUCCAUCCCUCUAAAUGGAAAAUACUCUACUGCUAAAGCUACUUCAUAUGACUAGGAAAGCAAAUAUUACAACAAUGUGCAGACAUCACAGUAAAGACAAAAGAAAGUACACAUAAUC
rnacentral:lncRNA from 1 species